UGGCUCUCGCAUCGAUGAAGAACGCAGCGAAAUGCGAUAAGUAAUGUGAAUUGCAGAAUUCAGUGAAUCAUCGAAUCUUUGAACGCACCUUGCGCCACGUGGUAUUCCACGGGGCACGCCUGUUUGAGUGUCACGUAAACCAUCGCUUCGUGAAUUGUAACGAUUCUCGGGGCGGAUUUGGACGCUGCCGUCGUUGGCUCGUCUCGAAAUGCAUUAGCUGCCUUAUGACGCGCGCCGCUGGUGUGAUAAUUUACUUUGCGCCGCUGGUGAGCGACUGUGGAUGGCUUAUAACCGCCCGCAAGGGCAACAAACUUAACGUUUUGGCCUCAAAUCAGGUGGGACUACCCGCUGA
rnacentral:misc_RNA from 1 species